rnacentral:rRNA from 1 species
GACGAACGCUGGCGGCGUGCUUAACACAUGCAAGUCGAACGGAAAGGCCUCUUUCGGGGGGUACUCGAGUGGCGAACGGGUGAGUAGCACGUGAGUAACCUGCCCUUGACUUUGGGAUAACUUCAGGAAACUGGGGCUAAUACCGGAUAGGAGCUCCUGCUGCAUGGUGGGGGUUGGAAAGUUUCGGCGGUUGGGGAUGGACUCGCGGCUUAUCAGCUUGUUGGUGGGGUAGUGGCUUACCAAGGCUUUGACGGGUAGCCGGCCUGAGAGGGUGACCGGCCACAUUGGGACUGAGAUACGGCCCAGACUCCUACGGGAGGCAGCAGUGGGGAAUAUUGCACAAUGGGUGGAAGCCUGAUGCAGCAACGCCGUGUGCGGGAGGACGGCCUUCGGGUUGUAAACCGCUUUCGCUCAUGACGAAGCUUUGUGUGACGGUAGUGGGUAAAGAAGCACCGGCUAACUACGUG